rnacentral:rRNA from 1 species
UGGGGAAUCUUGCACAAUGGGGGAAACCCUGAUGCAGCGACGCCGCGUGAACGAUGAAGCCCUUCGGGGUGUAAAGUUCUUUCGACAGGAACGAUAAUGACGGUACCUGGAGAAGAAGCUGCGGCUAACUACGUGCCAGCAGCCGCGGUAAUACGUAGGCAGCGAGCGUUGUUCGGAGUUACUGGGCGUAAAGAGUGCGUAGGCGGCGAGCCAAGUUUGGUGUGAAAUCUCCCGGCUUAACCGGGAGGGUGCGCCGAAAACUGGUUGGCUGGAGUAUGGGAGAGGAAAGCGGAAUACCUGGUGUAGCGGUGAAAUGCGUAGAUAUCAGGAGGAACACCUGCGGUGUAGACAGCUUUCUGGACCAAAACUGACGCUGAGGCACGAAAGCGUGGGUAGCAAACA